rnacentral:rRNA from 1 species
AGAGUUUGAUCCUGGCUCAGAACGAACGUUAGCGGCGCGCCUAACACAUGCAAGUCGCACGAGAAAGGGCUUCGGCCCCGGUAAAGUGGCGCACGGGUGAGUAACACGUGGGUAAUCUGCCCUCGAGCGGGGAUAACAUUCCGAAAGGAGUGCUAAUACCGCAUAAGACCACGACCUCGAAAGAGGACGCGGUCAAAGCUGGCCUCUAUACAUAAGCUAGCACUCGAGGAUGAGCCCGCGGCGCAUCAGGUAGUUGGUGAGGUAAUGGCUCACCAAGCCGAAGACGCGUAGCUGGUCUGAGAGGAUGAUCAGCCACACUGGAACUGAGACACGGUCCAGACUCCUACAGGAGGCAGCAGUGGGGAAUCUUGCGCAAUGGGCGAAAGCCUGACGCAGCGACGCCGCGUGAGUGAUGAAGGCCUUCGGGUUGUAAAGCUCUGUGGGGAGAGACGAAUAAGUGCAGCCUAAUACGUUGCAUGAUGACGGUAUCUCCUUAGCAAGCACCGGCUAACUCUGUGCCAGCAGCCGCGGUAAUUC